UUUCUCUUGCAAAUACUAUAUAAGAUGUUGUACAAACUUGUUUGGCGUAAGUCACCAGUUCAUACGAGACCUACUGGUCCCAGCCAUUGCUUUUGUCGUCUUUAUUUUUCAUCCCCAGCCAACUCGCCUUUCAGGACCCUUAUUCCUGUCGGUUCAGGAUGAGCAGAACACUGGGGGAAUCAUCACGAGUGAGUAUGGCCAUGGCACCCAGCUGGUCUGGAGGAAGAUGACUUCCCUCGAUCUCCUCAUUGUGCAUAUCCUGUUAUAAAUUGUCUCCAGAGGAAGGUUCAACCGGACAUUUGGCUGUUAUCCACAGCCCUGGACAAUGUGACAUCUAUGGGACUUCUGGAAAAGAUAAACAACUAUGGCACGGACAUCCUUUCAGGUUCAGACUCACUGUCUGUGUUAACCCUUGAUAAACAUUACUGACUGGGAGUCCCUCUACUCACAAAAGUGGGAUACUUCAAAGUUACCUGUAUCAAUCGUUUCCUCUCUAACGGUUUUUACAUUUUAACAGUUUCACAAUAGUCACUGCUAUACUGUAUGCAGCUGCUUCCAUGGUGGCCCUCACCCAACCACUGCAAAUGAUCCAUUUCGUUAAUCAGCUUGUUUGUAGCAACUUCUGUACCUUUGGCAACACAAGAACAUAUAGAUACAAACCUAGAAGCCAAGUUAAAUGCUUACAGUACAAACAAUACAACAUCAGUUCAAGACUUUA